rnacentral:rRNA from 1 species
AGCGAACGCUGGCGGCAGGCCUAACACAUGCAAGUCGAACGGAUCCUUCGGGAUUAGUGGCGGCCGGGUGAGUAACACGUGGGAACGUGCCCUUUGGUCCGGAACAACUCAGGGAAACGUGAGCUACUAGCGGAUGUGCCCUUCGUGGGAAAUAUUUAUCGCCAUUGAAGGGGCCGGCGUCUGAUUAGCUAGUGGGUGAGGUAAGGGCCCACCAAGGCGACGAGCAGUAGCUGGUCUGAGAGAAUAAUCCGCCACACUGGGACUGAGACACGGCCCAGACUCCUACGGGAGGCAGCAGUGGGGAAUCUUGCGCAACGGGCGAAAGCAUGACGCAGCCAUGCCGCGUGAAUGAUGAAGGUCUUAGGAUUGUAAAAUUCUUUCAGCGGCGACGAUAAUGACGGUACCCGAAGAAGAAGCUCCGGCUAACUUCGUG